UACGUAGGGUGCGAGCGUUGUCCGGAAUUAUUGGGCGUAAAGAGCUUGUAGGCGGUUUGUCGCGUCUGCCGUGAAAAUCCGAGGCUCAACCUCGGACUUGCGGUGGGUACGGGCAGACUAGAGUGUGGUAGGGGAGACUGGAAUUCCUGGUGUAGCGGUGAAAUGCGCAGAUAUCAGGAGGAACACCGAUGGCGAAGGCAGGUCUCUGGGCCACUACUGACGCUGAGGCGCGAAAGCUAGGGGAGCGAACGGG
rnacentral:rRNA from 1 species